AUUGAACGCUGGCGGAAUGCUUUACACAUGCAAGUCGAACGGCAGCACGGGGGCAACCCUGGUGGCGAGUGGCGAACGGGUGAGUAAUACAUCGGAACGUGCCCAGUCGUGGGGGAUAACGUAGCGAAAGUUACGCUAAUACCGCAUACGAUCUACGGAUGAAAGCGGGGGACCGUAAGGCCUCGCGCGAUUGGAGCGGCCGAUGUCAGAUUAGGUAGUUGGUGAGGUAAAGGCUCACCAAGCCGACGAUCUGUAGCUGGUCUGAAAGGACGACCAGCCACACUGGGACUGAGACACGGCCCAGACUCCUACGGGAGGCAGCAGUGGGGAAUUUUGGACAAUGGGCGCAAGCCUGAUCCAGCCAUUCCGCGUGCAGGACGAAGGCCUUCGGGUUGUAAACUGCUUUUGUACGGAACGAAAAGGCUCUGGUUAAUACCUGGGCUCAUGACGGUACCGUAAGAAUAAGCACCGGCUAACUACGUGCCAGCAGCCGCCGUAA
rnacentral:rRNA from 1 species